AUAGAGCACAGAUUAUUUUACUCAUCCAGAUUUCAGAGGAAAACACAUUCAGUGGAUUCAAUAGAAAACUGAGCGGGCAGAUCAAUGGGCUACCGAGUGGACAAUAAGAAUGUGGAGGAGUUGGCACUAAUGGAGCAGCUUGAGCUCAGUGCCGAUGUGGCGAAGGUGUGAAACUGUUUGCUCUUAACAUAACUCUGCCAGAGAGGACGGCGUGCUCUGUGACAUCAGCACUGGACUCAGAUGAAAGCAGGAAGAGCCGCGCUCGCUAAAUUUGUCCUUGUGAGGGAUUAGCCUUCAGACAGGAGGCCUCGGUUACACCCCCUCAGCAUCGACGUGGAAAUGGAUCCACAUGGAGAUGACUGAUUACUGACCGUCGGUCGGUACCUGUCCUCCUACACGACAAGAGAUUUGCUGAAAAAUGCCAGUCGUUCUUUGUGCCAACACUAGACUUAGGUUAAACAAACCUCUUCAAAGGAAAAUCUCAAGGUACACACAGAGCACACAGCCAUACAGCUGCAGGUGCUACUGGCGAGCACAACGACACUGUUC